ACCAUCAACAAACCUGGUUGACAACAUGCAAGAAACCGAUGACGUUGGCUCUGAUCAUGAAUCAUCAGGCAUUGUGGUUGGAUCAUCAGCUGUUGGCGACAUCGAUUCUUAUUGCAUGGAACUAAUUGGGCAAAAUGCCAUCACAACAUUGAGCAUUGUUUGUUUUCUUCUGCGUGAUUAUUCUUUGAAGGAAAAGACAUUUCUGAGUAAAAAGUUUGUUUUAGUAACAAGGAGACCACACAAAUUUUCAUGUGGAACAAAAUGGUGCUAUGCAUGCUCUUGUAAUAAAAGGAUCACAGAGUUCUUGACAU